CAUUUUGAACUGCAUGGUUCGAAAUUGAAAGGCGGCUUCGGCUGUCACUUAUGGAUGGACCCGCGUCGCAUUAGCUAGUUGGUGAGGGUUAACGGCUCACCAAGGCAACGAUGCGUAGCCGACCUGAGAGGGUGAUCGGCCACACUGGGACUGAGACACGGCCCAGACUCCUACGGGAGGCAGCAGUAGGGAAUCUUCCGCAAUGGACGAAAGUCUGACGGAGCAACGCCGCGUGACGUGAUGAAGGCUUUCGGGUCGUAAAACUCUGUUGUUAGGGAAGAACAAGUGCUAGUUGAAUAAGCUGGCACCUUGACGGUACCUAACCAGAAAGCCACGGCUAACUACGUGCCAGCAGCCGCGGUAAUACGUAGGUGGCAAGCGUUAUCCGGAAUUAUUGGGCGUAAAGCGCGCGCAGGUGGUUUCUUAAGUCUGAUGUGAAAGCCCACGGCUCAACCGUGGAGGGUCAUUGGAAACUGGGAGACUUGAGUGCAGAAGAGGAAAGUGGAAUUCCAUGUGUAGCGGUGAAAUGCGUAGAGAUAUGGAGGAACACCAGUGGCGAAAGCGACUUUCUGGUCUGUAACUGACACU
rnacentral:rRNA from 1 species